AAAUAAAAAAGAAGAAGAAAAGGGGGGUGUGGGCUAGUAGUCGUAGGUAGUAGUAUUUUUUCCCGGCUUUUUUUUUUCUUCUUCUUCUUCUUCCUGCCCCAAGAAAAGAAAAGAAGAAAAUGAAGUGUCUAGUUAUUGAAAG
rnacentral:ribozyme from 14 species